CGGCUACCGGUUCAGGAGUUCCUGGCUAACUCUCCACACCCCUCUUGCCCCCACAUCCUCGCUCUAAAAGGCAGCCUGGCUCAAGGACACUGAGGAGCAUGCCAGCAGCUGGAAGGCUGUGGGCGUCCUCAGCUAGUCUGGUCCGGAGAUGUUCUCUCUGGCACACUGCUUUUUCUCUGCUCUCCCCUCCCUGUACUGACCGGCCCGAAACGGACCAGCAACCGAGGCGCACUUCCCAGCAGCCGCCGGUAGGGGCGCCAGCGCAGCCUGGGCCUGUCCUCCCCCCUCCACGCCGCGACCCGCCCGCGGACUGCCGCCCCGUAGGCCAUGGAGUGCUAUCGCCAAAGUCACUGCUCACCACCUGCCACCCUUACGGGUGAAGCUUACGGUACCCGCGCCCCUGGGAAGGCACACGGGCUUGCAUUCAAGGCUUGCCAAGGCCCAGCCCUGGAUCCCAGGGAGGUCACGGCCCAGGGUUGACCUCUGAAGCCACCUCCUGUCUCCCCCUGGCUCCUCUGUCUCUGUGCAGAACCGUGGUGUGCCAGGCUCUGGCCAACCUGUGGCCUCUCCACCCUGAAAGAGUCCCCUUGAAAAGCCAAGGGGGAAGAAACCAGCCCCCAGCAGCGAACUCCAUAUAUACCAAGAGGUCCAUCCAUGUUGUCACAAGUGGUGAAACGUCAUUGUUUUAAGAGUU